rnacentral:rRNA from 1 species
UAGUAAUCGCAGGUCAGCAUACUGCGGUGAAUACGUUCCCGGGCCUUGUACACACCGCCCGUCACACCAUGAGAGUUGAGAAUACCCGAAGCCCAUGUCAAAGUGGUCGAAGGUAGGCUUGAUGAUUGGGGUGAAGUCGUAACAAGGUAAC